AGAUAUUGCUAUCAGACUUCGAUUAAGCCAUGCAAGUCGGCUCACUCACUUGGGUGGGCGGCGUAAGGCUGAGUAACACGUAGUCAAUCUACCCUGAGGACGCGGAAAACGUCGGGAAACUGACGCUAACCCGCGAUAAGCGACCUAUGCUGGAAUGCUUGGCCGUUUAAAUCCUUGAUGAAUUGGAAUCAAUGGGCCUUAGGAUGAGACUGCGGUGGAUUAUGGUAGUUGGGGAGGUAAUGGCUCACCAAGCCGAUAAUCCAUAGGGGCCAUGGGAGUGGUGGCCCCCAGAAGGGAACUGAGACAAGGUCCCUAGCCCUACGGGGUGCAGCAGGCGCGAAACCUCUACAAUGCGCGAAAGCGUGAUAGGGGAAGUCUGAGUGACGGCAGCAUUGCUGUCGUCUUUUGCCAAGUGUAAAUAGCUUGGAGAAUAAGGGUGUGGGCAAACACACCCUUAUCGGUAGGUUUGAACAGUCGAUAGGGAGUGGCCUAUGACUGGUGGCAGCCGCCGCGGUAACACCAGCGCCUCGAGUGAUAUCCACGAAUACUGGGCCUAAAGCGUCCGUAGCUGGACGGGUAAGUCCACUGUGAAAUGUUGAGGCUCAACCUCAUCGCUUGCAGUAGAUACUGCCUGUCUUGGGAACGGGGGAGGGUCGGAGUACAUCCAGGGUAGGGGUAAAAUCCGUUGAGCCUGGAUGGACUACCAGUGGCGAAGGCGCCGAUCCAAAACGUGUCCGACAGUGAGGGACGAAAGCUAGGGGAGCGAACGGGAUUAGAUACCCCGGUAGUCCUAGCCGUAAAUUAUGCAGACUGGGGUGUUGCGCAUGAGUAAUCAUGUGCAGUGCUGUAGCGUAGGUCUUAAGUCUGCCGCCUGGGGAGUACGAUCGCAAGAUUUAAACUUAAAGGAAUUGGCGGGGGAGCACCACAAGCCGUGGAUGCUACGGUUU
rnacentral:rRNA from 1 species